AAAAAAGGGUCAGUUUCUAAAUAAAAUAAUUAGUCAUCUAUAUAUAUAAAGCAAAAGGUAGAGAAUGGUGAAACAUUCAAAAUACCAGAAAAUGAGUAUAAUAUGGUACAUUCACACUUUUUCAUAUUAAAAAAAUUAAAUUUAAAAGAAAAAUCAAAUAAUAGAUCCUUUUUUUAUGGAACACAACUACCCCAUUAUCUUUUUUAAUUCUAAAAUAAAUUUAAAAUUUUCCAACAAAAAAAAAAAACCUCUCGCGGGCACGGAAGCACGUGCGAAAAAGCUAAUUUUAAUUCACAUAAAAUGUUGUUUCCAUUAGGGUAAGAAAGAAACCGUGUAGAUAUACAAAACCAGGUCCCUAGGUUUAGCCUUGUAAUUGAACUGCGGGGUUUCCAAAUUUCUAUAUGUUGAAAACAAAAAUUACAUGACAAGGAAAGGGCCGAAGAUAAAAGCCCCAGACAAGAAAGUGCCCCACGUCUGUUGGAGUUGCAAUGGUUAGUGGCCAACAUUCCUUCUUUAUCUCUGCCCACUCCAUGAUUCACCAACCAUUUCUUCAUAUCUAUAAAAGGGCUCAAAUAAAAAGCGAAAAAAAAAAGGCAGAGUCAAAAAGCGGAGGCGAGAAAUCAGAAGGAGGAACGAAGUGCUGCAGAAAUUGAAGGCAAGAAGCAAAA
rnacentral:lncRNA from 1 species